UACGGAGGUGGCAAGCGUUGCUCGGAAUCACUGGGCGUAAAGGGCGCGUAGGCGGGGAGGUAAGUCGGGGGUGAAAUCCCUCGGCCCAACCGAGGAACUGCGCCCGAGACUGCUUCUCUUGAGUUCCGGAGAGGAAGAUGGAAUUCCCGGUGUAGCGGUGAAAUGUGUAGAGAUCGGGAGGAACACCGGUGGCGAAGGCGGUCUUCUGGACGGUGACUGACGCUGAGGCGCGAAAGCGUGGGGAGCAAACGGG
rnacentral:rRNA from 1 species